CUUUAUAAAAGUGUUUUGGGGAACAGGAAAAGGACAAAAAUUGUGGAAGCAGAAGAGGUAUUUAAUUUAAAUGACGCUACUGGCAUAAACCCAAUUAGCUAGAAAUUGAUCAUGAAGAAGUUUAGGCUUCAAACUAGUAAAACCAUUCAAAGAAUGAAGUUCUGGAUCAGUCUCUCAGGCAGUGUUAUGAGGGGAAGGACCUGAAUUGUUUUUUUAAAAAACAAAACGUACUGAGUUAUUGAUAUGAUUGUGAGGAGGAAAAUUCUUAGUGACAGACAAUAAGACAUCCUCAGAGCUAGCAAGUCCAAAGGGAUUGGAAAGGUAACUGACUGUUCUCAUUCUCCAUUAUUAAACCCAUGCCUGGGUGCCUCUGCAGAUGGGAUAAAGAGGCCAGGGAGAAAACCCUUUCCCUGCUCCAUCCUGGAGGUUGGCUACAGACAGAUUGUGGCAGGAGGUACAUUGAAAUAAAAAUCUGAUACUGUUCAAAUGACUGGUGGAGGGAUGGAGCACUCACUUUUUCUGUUUGGGUUAACUAGUCCUGUGAUUUAGAACUGAGAAAGAAAUUUUCUACCAGCCAAGAGAGCAGUACUUCCUUCUUUCCACUCUCCCACUAGAAUAAGGCACAGUCCCCUUUCAAGACCUGUGCAUGAAUUUAUCAUGAUAGCCCUUUCUAUCAUGAGUAGGGAGAAAGAGGCGUUUUCAGGGAGUGCUUCAUUUGACCUAAUUAACAUAUUUCCUUCAGGAUUAGGUGAAGAGUGCCCCAGAAUUGCACAGCCCUCUUUGUUACCCGUAUUAGGAGCUGAGGAGGUGAGUCAGCCACCUCAAGCUGUAUCCUGUUUUUCUGAGAUCAACAGUUCCACAUCCACUGACUCCAACAGAACCAGAACCCAGCUCUAAGGAAGCAGGACAGACCUCUGCCUGCUCCGCCAUACCCCUCCCAGCAUCAUCAGUCACUCACAGUGUGGAAGACAAAGGCUCACAGGCUGGUAGCUCCAUGCUGUGCCCCAGGCAGAACAGCCCUUGGUCCCAGCACCCAGCCCCAGGCACAUCUCCUCUUGUACAGCCCAGCUGGCAACAUCUGGA
rnacentral:lncRNA from 1 species